rnacentral:ncRNA from 1 species
AACAGUUAUAGCGCCAGUACUAAGGAAAUCAAGCCACACAGCCUUAGUAGACGAGGUGGAGGAGUAUCGAAACAUUCGGCGGAUGCCUCCCGAUCGUAUUGCCCGAUCGUCGAUGAUUUUUAAAACAGAAGAGCAAUCUUUUGGACAAAGAAAGCAUC